AUGGUGGAGCAAUGGCAGUUCAGGGAGCAAUGGCGAAACAAUGGUGGAGCAGGCAGUUCUGGGAGCCAUGUCGUAGCAGGCAGUUCUGGGAGCUAUGGCGGAGGAGGCAGUUCAGGGAGCUAUGGCGGAGGAGGCAGUUCUGGGAGCCAUGGUGGAGCAGGUAGUUCAAGGAGCCAUGGGGGAGCAGGUAGUUCAGGGAGCCAUGGCGGAGCAGGCAGUUCAGGGAGCUAUGGCGCAGCAGGCAGCGCAGGGAGCUAUGGCGGAGGAGGCAGUUCAGAGAGCUAUGGCGGAGGAGGCAGUUCUGGGAGCUAUGGUGGAGCAGGCAGUUCAGGGAGCCAUGGGGGAGCAGGUAGUGCAGGGAGCCAUGGCGGAGCAGGCAGUUCAGGGAGCUAUGGUGGAGGAGGCAGUUCAGGGAGCUAUGGCGGAGGAGGCAGUUCAGAGAGCUAUGGCGGAGGAGGCAGUUCGGGGAGCUAUGGCGGAGGAGGCAGUUCUGGGGGCUAUGGCGGAGAGGGCAGUUCAGGGAGCCAUGGCGGAGGAGGCAGUUCAGGGAGCUAUGGUGGAGGAGGCAGUUCAGGGAGCUAUGGCGGAGGAGGCAGUUCAGGGAGCUGUGGCGGAGGAGGCAGUUCUGGGUGCCGUGGUGGAGGAGGUAGUGCAAGGAGCCAUGGGGGAGCAGGUAGUUCAGGGAGCCAUGGCGGAGCAGGCAGGUCAGAGAGCCAUGGCAGAGCAAUGGCGGAGCAGGCAGUUCAGGGAGCCAUGGUGGAGCAAUGGCGGAGCAGGCAGUUCAGGGAGCCAUGGUGGAGCAAUGGCGGAGCAGGUAGUUCAGGGAACCAUGGCGGAGCAAUGGCGGAGCAGGUAGUUCUGGGAACCAUGGCGGAGCAGGCAGUUCAGAGAGCAAUGGCAGAGCAAUGGCGGAGCAGGCAGUUCUGGGAGCUAUGGCGGAGCCAUGGCGGAGCAGGCAGUUCUGGGAGCCAUGUCGUAGCAGGCAGUUCAGGGAGCCAUGGCGGAGGAGGCAGUUCAGGGAGCCAUGGUGGAGCAGGGAGUUCAAGGAGCCAUGGGGGAGCUGAUAGUUCAGGGAGCCAUGGCGGAGCAGGCAGUUCAGAGAGCCAUGGCAGAGCAAUGGCGGAGCAGGCAGUUCUGGGAGCUAUGGCGGAGGAGGCAGUUCAGGGAGCCAUGGCGGAGCAAGGGCGGAGCAGGCAGUUCUGGGAGCUAUGGCGGAGGAGGUAG
rnacentral:lncRNA from 12 species